CUGUAAACUCUAUUGCUGUUUCUAAGAAAAAAUCCAAUGCCACCAUGGCUAAGGCUGUACUGCUGAUAUGUUUCUCCAUUCUUCUGGCCGCAUGCAUAGUCCAGUGUGCUCCCAAAAAAACCGCUCAAGACGGGGUGCUUGGACUGCGCUUUCGGAAUAUGUAGCGACGGACAACACCAGAUAUGCGACACGACACUGGAGCGUUGUGUUUGCCCGCCCGCCCGGUCCCCGGCCGAGGGCGGUCGACGUGAUAAGCGAGCGCAUCGGGGAACAGCGUCAGGGGAAGAAGUGACCGGAAAACCCCGGGGCAGCGGUUGCUAUGACUGUGGCUAUGUCAUGUGCAACAACGGCCGCAUGCGCUGCGACCAUGCGCGCGAUGAAUGUGUCUGCCCUCCUGGCGGAUAUCCCAUGUAACUGGCUUGGCUCGUUAAAGUGUCCCGUGGACUGCGCGUGGCCACCCUUCGUAUUUUCGCUGACAACGUCAAUAAUCUUCUUCCGCGGCAAAUUAUAUAGCUGCACUUGCAAGCGACAAUAUUUUUGAAAAAUUAUUCAUGAUGGUUAUACGGUGUUUGGUUUGAUGCCGGUGGCUAUUUUCUGUCUUUGUUAUCGCUCGCGAUUGGUCGUAUAAAUCGCGGGCGCAAUUUUCACUGAUACCAUU